rnacentral:ribozyme from 1 species
UGCUUAGCAACUCCAAUCCCUACCUCCUCGUGGUACCGGCUGGAAACUACGAGCAACCUUAGGAAAGAUCGGGUAAUCAAUUCUGCGUGGCGGGAGGGGGGGG